AGUCGAACGAUGAAGCCCUUCGGGGUGGAUUAUUGGCGAACGGGUGAGUAACACGUGGGCAAUCUGCCCUGCACUCUGGGACAAGCCCUGGAAACGGGGUCUAAUACCGGAUACUGAUCGCCUUGGGCAUCCUUGGUGAUCGAAAGCUCCGGCGGCGCAGGAUGAGCCCGCGGCCUAUCAGCUUGUUGGUGAGGUAAUGGCUCACCAAGGCGACGACGGGUAGCCGGCCUGAGAGGGCGACCGGCCACACUGGGACUGAGACACGGCCCAGACUCCUACGGGAGGCAGCAGUGGGGAAUAUUGCACAAUGGGCGAAAGCCUGAUGCAGCGACGCCGCGUGAGGGAUGACGGCCUUCGGGUUGUAAACCUCUUUCAGCAGGGAAGAAGCGAAAGUGACGGUACCUGCAGAAGAAGCGCCGGCUAACUACGUGCCAGCAGCCGCGGUAAUACGUAGGGCGCGAGCGUUGUCCGGAAUUAUUGGGCGUAAAGAGCUCGUAGGCGGCUUGUCGCGUCGGUUGUGAAAGCCCGGGGCUUAACCCCGAGUCUGCAGUCGAUACGGGCAGGCUAGAGUUCCGUAGGGGAGAUCGGAAUUCCUGGUGUAGCGGUGAAAUGCGCAGAUAUCAGGAGGAACACCGGUGGCGAAGGCGGAUCUCUGGGCCGAUACUGACGCUGAGGAGCGAAAGCGUGGGGAGCGAACAGGAUUAGAUACCCUGGUAGUCCACGCCGUAAACGGUGGGCACUAGGUGUGGGCGACAUUCCACGUCGUCCGUGCCGCAGCUAACGCAUUAAGUACCCCGCCUGGGGAGUACGGCCGCAAGGCUAAAACUCAAAGGAAUUGACGGGGGCCCGCACAAGCGGCGGAGCAUGUGGCUUAAUUCGACGCAACGCGAAGAACCUUACCAAGGCUUCACAUACACCGGAAACGUCCAGAGAUGGGCGCCCCCUUGUGGUCGGUGUACAGGUGGUGCAUGGCCGUCGUCAGCUCGUGUCGUGAGAUGUUGGGUUAAGUCCCGCAACGAGCGCAACCCUUGUCCCGUGCUGCCAGCAGGCCCUUGUGGUGCUG
rnacentral:rRNA from 1 species